UACGAAGGGGGCUAGCGUUGCUCGGAAUCACUGGGCGUAAAGCGCACGUAGGCGGAUUGCUAAGUCAGGGGUGAAAUCCUGGAGCUCAACUCCAGAACUGCCUUUGAUACUGGCGAUCUUGAGUCCGGGAGAGGUGAGUGGAACUGCGAGUGUAGAGGUGAAAUUCGUAGAUAUUCGCAAGAACACCAGUGGCGAAGGCGGCUCACUGGGCCGGUACUGACGCUGAGGUGCGAAAGCGUGGGGAGCAAACAGG
rnacentral:rRNA from 1 species